rnacentral:rRNA from 1 species
GAUGAACGCUGGCGGCGUGCCUAAUACAUGCAAGUCGAGCGAACAGAUGAGGAGCUUGCUCCUCUGACGUUAGCGGCGGACGGGUAAGUAACACGUGGAUAACCUACCUAUAAGACUGGGAUAACUUCGGGAAACCGGAGCUAAUACCGGAUAAUAUAUUGAACCGCAUGGUUCAAUAGUGAAAGACGGUUUUGCUGUCACUUAUAGAUGGAUCCGCGCCGCAUUAGCUAGUUGGUAAGGUAACGGCUUACCAAGGCAACGAUGCGUAGCCGACCUGAGAGGGUGAUCGGCCACCCUGGAACUGAGACACGGUCCAGACUCCUACGGGAGGCAGCAGUAGGGAAUCUUCCGCAAUGGGCGAAAGCCUGACGGAGCAACGCCGCGUGAGUGAUGAAGGUCUUCGGAUCGUAAAACUCUGUUAUUAGGGAAGAACAAAUGUGUAAGUAACUAUGCACGUCUUGACGGUACCUAAUCAGAAAGCCACGGCUAACUACGUG